rnacentral:misc_RNA from 1 species
AAGUCGUAACAAGGUUUCCGUAGGUGAACCUGCGGAAGGAUCAUUAACACGUAUCCAACGUUAAACCCCCCGUGAACCUUAAGCGUGCUCUUGCAGCCUCUAUAGGAACAGCAAUCCUGGUAAAUCAGUCCGAGAAAAGUUUUUGAUUCAGGACCUCUGUCUAAAAGGAUGCAAUCGAGCGCUGGAGCAAGUGGCUUGGUUUCCCCAAGCAGUUAGUAUUCUGAAAGUGUUGCUAAUUGUGCAAGGAUAACGCUUUACGAUUGCUGUAGGCCGAACACCGGCCGGCGACUCGGUCACCGGGCUCACGCCCCCUAGCUCAUAAACCCAAGUUAUCUAUAACGGACGCCUCCACAGCAAGUGCGCCGGAGCUUACGUCCAAAACCGAACAACUGUUAACAAUGGAUAUCUUGGUUCUC